AUGGGAAAGACUAGAGAUCUCUUCAAGAAAAUUAGAGAUACCAAGGGAACUUUUCAUGCAAAGAUGGGCUCGAUAAAGGACAGAAAUGGUCUGGACCUAACAGAAGUAGAAGAUAUUAAGAAGAGGUGGCAAGAAUACAUGGAAGAACUGUACAAAAAAGAUCUUCAUGACCCAGAUAAUCAUGAUGAUGUGCUCACUAAUCUAGAGCCAGACAUCUUGGAAUGUGAAGUCAAGUGGGCCUUAGAAAGCAUCAUUAUGAACAAAACUAGUGGAGGUGAUGGAAUUCCAGUUGAGCUGUUUCAAAUCCUGAAAGAUGAUGCUGUGAAAGUGCUGCACUCAAUAUGUCAGCAAGUUUGGAAAACUCAGCAGUGGCCACAGGACUGGAAAAGGUCAGUUUUCAUUCCAAUCCCAAAGAAAGGCAAUGCCAAAGAAUGCUUAGACUACCACACAGUUGCACUCAUCUCACAUGCUAGUAAAGUAAUGCUCAAAAUUCUCCAAGCCAGGCUUCAGCAAUACGUGAACCGUGCAUUUCCUGAUGUUCAAGCUGGUUUUAGAAAAGGCAGAGGAACCAGAGAUCAAAUUGCCAACAUCCACUGGAUCAUGGAAAAAGCAAGAGAGUUCCAGAAAAACAUCUCUUUCUGCUUUAUUGAUUAUACCAAAGCCUUUGACUGUGUGGAUCACAAUAAACUGUGGAAAAUUCUUCAAGAGAUGGGAAUACCAGAUCACCUAACCUGCCUCUUGAGAAAUCUGUAUGCAGGUCAGGAAGCAACAGUUAGAUCUGGACAUGGAACAACAGACUGGUUCCAAAUAGGAAAAGGAGUACGUCAAGGCUGUAUAUUGUCACCCUGCUUAUUUAACUUCUAUGCAGAGUACAUCAUGAGAAACGCUGGACUGGAAGAAACACAAGCUGGAAUCAAGAUUGCCGGGAGAAAUAUCAAUAACCUCAGAUAUGCAGAUGACACCACCCUUAUGGCAGAAGGUGAAGAGGAGCUAAAAAGCCUCUUGAUGAAAGUGAAAGAGAAGAGUGAAAAAGUUGGCUUAAAGCUCAACAUUCAGAAAACGAAGAUCAUGGCAUCUGGUCCCAUCACUUCAUGGGAAAUAGAUGGGGAAACAGUAGAAACAGUGUCAGACUUUAUUUUUGGGGACUCCAAAAUCACUGCAGAUGGUGACUGCAGCCAUGAAAUUAAAAGACGCUUACUCCUUGGAAGAAAAGUUAUAACCAACCUAGAUAGGAUAUUCAAAAGCAGGGACAUUACUUUGCCGACUAAGGUCCAUCUAGUCAAGGCUGUAUAG
rnacentral:lncRNA from 1 species